GGGGAUGUUUUGGAUUCGACAGGUAUAGGUUGAGUUCGGGCUGCGUCUCGUAGUUGCGUGACGUAAAGACGCUCAGUUAAAUAUAACUGCAAAAAAUAAUAACAACUCUUACGCUUUAGCUGCCUAAACGCAGCAACGUAGAUCCACCUAAUAUCGUCCAUGUAUUAGUGCUGGGUCCUAUAAAUAGUGGACUUGCGUCAGUUAACGCCAUCUGAAUUAACUGAAAGAGGAUUAUCAGGUUAGUUGCUGAUAUUAGCCAAGUCAUGUGGCGUGGUCAGUGAUGAAUUUUAAAUAACAUGGCUAUGGACGUAGAUGUUCGAAUGGCAAUAUGCUUGGACGCGGGUUCGAGCCCCGCCAUCUCCAUUU
rnacentral:tmRNA from 1 species